UACGUAGGGUGCAAGCGUUGUCCGGAAUUAUUGGGCGUAAAGAGCUCGUAGGCGGUUUGUUGCGUCGGCUGUGAAAUCCCGAGGCUCAACCUCGGGUCUGCAGUCGAUACGAGCAAACUAGAGUGUUGCAGGGGGAGACUGGAAUUCCUGGUGUAGCGGUGAAAUGCGCAGAUAUCAGGAGGAACACCGGUGGCGAAGGCGGGUCUCUGGGCAUUAACUGACGCUGAGGAGCGAAAAGCAUGGGGGAGCGAACAGG
rnacentral:rRNA from 1 species